AACCUAUUAGCUCAAAUGGAAGAGCAUGUGCUAUGCGCAAGAUGUGGGUUCGAUUCCCACACAGGUUA
rfam:Beta vulgaris subsp. vulgaris Bvchr1.sca002.con0291.1, whole genome shotgun sequence.